rnacentral:rRNA from 1 species
GCUCCAAUAGCGUAUUAAAGUUGCUGCAGUUAAAAAGCUCGUAGUUGGAUCUCGGGAUCGAGCUGGCGGACCGCCGCGAGGCGUGCUCCGCCUGUCCAGCCCCUGCCUCUCGGCGCCCCCCGGAUGCUCUUAACUGAGUGUUCGGUCCAAGGGGCCGAAGCGUUUACUUUGAAAAAAUUAGAGUGUUCAAAGCAGGCCCC